CGGAGCCCCUCAUGCACCACGUCACGGUUUCUCAGCUUUGAACAUCGGCCUGAGGAAUUAGCUAGUAUUGUCAGUUGCGUAUCAUUUUGGUGCAUCUUUUGCAGUGAUUUUUUAGUAAACUUGGAAUUAUUCUAACAUGGUCAUUAUUUACCUGGCAUUGGCCAGUGCAGUAGGAUCCUGUAAAUAUCAUAAUUACUGCAAGAUAAGAGGACAUCAGAUUUACUUCAAGAUUACUCCAGGACAACUGGACUGCGUGUCCUUCUGUCAAACAGUAAUCAUGAACUCUUCCAGGAAGUAUAGUUCUUGAAUAUGAACAAGCUGAACAGGACAGCAUAAAAUAAACUUCAGGAUCAUAAUCACUCCAAGACAGGAGUAUGCUUCGUGGUUACUCCAGUACAGUGGACAUACUACAUAGAUUAUGAUUACACCUGGACAAGAGAGUAUGAGGUAAAGUUAUUGGUUAUAAUCAUAAUAGACAGGAGAGCACUUGGAAACUUCAAGAUCCUAAUUUCUGCAAGACUAGAGGGCAUCAAAAAUGAUUCAAGGUUACACUUGGACAGCUGAACAUCAAGGAUAGUUUACGACUACUAAUGGGUGGGAAAACAGAGUAUAAUUCUCUUUUAUGAUCACAGUGGACAGGAGGACAUCAGGAAUACAUCAUAAUUACUCCAGGGUGGUGGGACAUCAAGUAGAGUUCAUGACUACUCUUGGACAGAGGAACUUUCAUGAUCAUAAUUACUGCAAGACAAGAGGACACUGAUAUACCUCAUGGUACCUCCAGGUUAGUGAGGCAUUAUGAAUGCACACAAUUGCUCCUGGAGAGGGUAGUAAGUAGCAUAGAGCUCAGUUGUGAUCACACUGGGCAGAAGAGCACUGAGUAAACUUCAUAGUCAUGACAGGUUGACAAGUAUAUUUCAUGGUUACUCCAGGACAUCAUGGAUAUGUCAUGAUUACUCUUGUGCAGAUUACAGCAAGUUGUUUCAAAAGGUUGUCAGACAAUUAAAAAAAAAAACAUUUUUCUUCCCAUCAACAGCACCACUUGUUUGCAUCUGAUAGUGUAGCUCACGUCCAUGGGGUGAGGUUUAUGGGAAAAGUUAAAACCCUUUUCUCUAAUCACAGACAAGUUCUUUAAGAAACACAAUAACUGUGCUAAAGGUUUUUGCCACAGGUACUGAAGGCAGGGGUGGAAAUUAAAGGAAAAAACUACAGAUGGAAAACUACAGAUUUUCGAUAUGCUUUUACUGUAGAGGCGAUCUCUAUAUUGCCAAUAUAAAAGAAAAUAAUAUAUUCGGUUCUUAUAUUUCUACUUUGCUGCUGAAGGGCAGAGGUAUACAGAAAUAUGAGUCCGUAUCGCCCAG